rnacentral:rRNA from 1 species
UCCGGAUUUAUUGGGUUUAAAGGGUGCGUAGGCGGUCGGAUAAGUUAGAGGUGAAAUCCCGAGGCUCAACUUCGGAAUUGCCUCUGAUACUGUUCGGCUAGAGAGUAGUUGCGGUAGGCGGAAUGUAUGGUGUAGCGGUGAAAUGCUUAGAGAUCAUACAGAACACCGAUUGCGAAGGCAGCUUACCAAGCUACUUCUGACGUUGAGGCACGAAAGCGUGGGGAGCAAACAGGAUUAGAUACCCUGGUAGU